rnacentral:rRNA from 1 species
GACGAACGCUGGCGGCGUGCUUAACUCAUGCAAGUCGAACGGAAAGGCCCUGCUUUUGUGGGGUGCUCGAGUGGCGAACGGGUGAGUAACACGUGAGUAACCUGCCCUUGACUUUGGGAUAACUUCAGGAAACUGGGGCUAAUACCGGAUAGGAGCUCCUGCUGCAUGGUGGGGGUUGGAAAGUUUUGGCGGUUGGGGAUGGACUCGCGGCUUAUCAGCUUGUUGGUGGGGUAGUGGCUUACCAAGGCUUUGACGGGUAGCCGGCCUGAGAGGGUGACCGGCCACAUUGGGACUGAGAUACGGCCCAGACUCCUACGGGAGGCAGCAGUGGGGAAUAUUGCACAAUGGGCGGAAGCCUGAUGCAGCAACGCCGCGUGCGGGAUGACGGCCUUCGGGUUGUAAACCGCUUUCGCCUGUGACGAAGCGUGAGUGACGGUAAUGGGUAAAGAAGCACCGGCUAACUACGUG